AAGCCACAGAGAUUCGAACUCCGACCCUGGUUUACGAGACCAGUGCUCUACCUCUGAGCUAUGUGGCG
rnacentral:tRNA from 13 species